rnacentral:rRNA from 1 species
AGCAGCCGCGGUAAUUCCAGCUCCAAUAGCGUAUAUUAAAGUUGUUGCAGUUAAAAAGCUCGUAGUUGAAUUUCGGGAUCAGUUGGUCGGUCGUGCCUCGGUACGUACUGGUCAAAUUGAUUCCUACCUUCUGACGAACCACGAUGUCAUUAAUUUGGUGUCGCGGGAAAUCAGGACUGUUACUUUGAAAAAAUUAGAGUGUUUAAAGCAGGCUCGCGCUUGAAUACAUUAGCAUGGAAUAAUGAAAUAGGACGUUUGAUUCUAUUUUGUUGGUUUCUAGGAUCGACGUAAUGAUUAAUAGGGAUAGUUGGGGGCAUUAGUAUUCAAUUGUCAGAGGUGAAAUUCUUGGAUUUAUUGAAGACUAACUACUGCGAAAGCAUUUGCCAAGGAUGUUUUCAUUAAUCAAGAACGAAAGUUAGGGGAUCGAAGACGAUCAGAUACCGUCGUAGUCUUAACCAUAAACUAUGCCGACUAGGGAUCGGAUGAUGU